CUUUUUUCUCCAACUAGUCAUCUUCCCCAGCUCUCUACCUCUCUCUCUCUCACUGUCACUGGUAUGCUCAGCCACGAACAGAACCAACUCCAUCUCUCUCUCCCUAACUACAGAGCAGGUCGCCGCCGGCUCGAUCUGCCACUUCCGGACAUCUCCGGCGACACCGUGGACACCCACAGAAUCCCCUCGACUCCCUCUACCAUAUCCCCCCAUUUAUUUGAUCCGCCGCCGCCAAAAUCGCCGCCACCCUCAAACCCCAGCGUCGUCUGCAUCGGGUCCGAUGGGUUCACCACGGGCCGCAGUAGCAAUGGCAUAUCCCUGCCUACAACCUCCUCCAGCAGAGCUGCACGCACGAGGCAUGCAACUACGGCGUCGGGAGCGAGCAUCUUAACCGGCGCGGCUCCGGCAACAUGGCCGCUACCGGCGCCUGGCUCGCCUUUGUCUACUGCUACUAGUUAACUAGAGUCCAAAAGAUCAGGUGUUCAUGUUCUAAGCAAAGGUGAAGAUGGAUCAAGCAAACAAAGCUGCAAAAGCAAGGCACUUGAAUAGUACCUGAUGGCAACUCAGCAUCCGACCAAAAGAGUGGAUGGGGAUGGUGGGGAGAGCUUGGUUCUCUCUUGUGCGUGUUGUGUGCAGUAGAGGAAGUCAAAGGUGAAAGGAGGAGGCUGCUAUUUAUAGUAGUGUAGGGUGCUAGGUCGGUUUGGUAAAAGAGAGAUGUGGCUGACAUGCAUGGUUGCAUGAGCAUGCAAGCCUCCACAUGUAAUCAUGUGAGUUGUACAACGGACAAGUGUAUAGUGCAUGGUUCGACACGAG
rnacentral:rRNA from 1 species